rnacentral:rRNA from 1 species
GAUGAACGCUAGCUACAGGCUUAACACAUGCAAGUCGAGGGGUAACAAGAGGAAAGCUUGCUUUUCUUGUUGACGACCGGCGCACGGGUGAGUAACGCGUGUCCAACCUGCCUAUAACUAGGGAAUAACCUUGCGAAAGUAAGACUAAUACCCUAUGAUUUCCUUUGAUGACAUCAGAUUAGGAAUAAAGAUUUAUCGGUUAUAGAUGGGGAUGCGUCUGAUUAGCUUGUUGGCGGGGUAACGGCCCACCAAGGCAACGAUCAGUAGGGGUUCUGGGAGGAAGGUCCGCCACGUCGGAGCUGAGACACGGUCCAAACUCCUACGGGAGGCAGCAGUGUGGAAUAUUGGUCAAUGGGCGGAAGCCUGAGCCAGCCAGGUAGCGUGCAGGCUGACGGCCCUAUGGGUUGUAAACUGCUUUUAUACAGGAAUAAAGUUAGCCACGUGUGGUUAUUUGUAGGUACUGUAUGAAUAAGGACCGGCUAAGUCCGUGCCAGCCGCCGCAGUAA